rnacentral:tRNA from 1 species
GGAGAGAAUGGCCAUUAGGGUGUUGGCUCCGGUCCCAAAACUGGUGUGGUUCUUUUCAAAGAAUCAAUGGGGGUUCAAAUCCCCCUCUCUCCC